rnacentral:lncRNA from 1 species
GGGUUCAUAAGACUAACUUCUAGAAUGAGGAUAGAGGAUGAAUAGGAUCAAGUGUGGAAUGACAUAGGUUUCCAUGAUCUCUAAGCUCAGUGUACACAGAUAGGGAGAAUCUUCUAAAAUUAGCUGACAAACCCUAAGUUAUCACAAUUCCAUCCCAUUUCAGGACAAUCAGACCAUCCCUGAAGUGUUGUGCUCCCUUCUGGAAAGCGUCCCUUAAAGAUGUGGACGAAAUGGAGUAUGCCCAGAAGAAGAAAUGGGAUGAUAAGAGAUUUGAGAAACCACAUCACAAGAUAAAAAAUUGAAGACCAGAGAAAUCAAGAAGCAUAGACAAGGGUUGAUAACCACUCAUGGAUGACAGCACCUUUAUGAGAGUCCAGUUGUAUACUGGAGAAGUUCCGGCACAACAUUGGAGCAAAAAAUUUGAAAGUACAUGCAUUGAAGAUGGUUAAAAAGAAGAGUUUCACUUUACUUCCAUCACCUCUCCCUCAAGGCAGCAUACCUCAGUGCCCAGACAGAUCCCCCAGGUCCACAAUUCCUUUGGACUGUGAGAACAUAGUGAGUGCUCAGCUUCCACAGGCAUUCAGGAUGCUGCCCAAGAGGGCAACAUUUUUUCUUGUCUGACAUAGAAUACUGACGUGAUCGGCAUAGCUGAGUGGUUGGGAGAGGCUGAGAACAGGGAAUAGAGGCAGAGACUCACAGAAAUUAGGGCCUGAUGUCACCUGAUGUCAACAAAGGGCCACAGAUCCUACCAACCACUUCACAGACUUCAUCAGGAAGCCUGCCCAUGAGGUGCUGAAGACUCCCUGCCUGAUGACCUCCCCACCAAUUGACCCAUAGGCACCUCCAGUGCUCUAUAUUUCUCACCUCCUGCAACCCAUGACUGGCUCCCUAUGCACACUCCCACAGAAGGCAAAUGUCAGCCUCUGUGGAUAGCUCAAGAGCAUGAAUGGUUAGCUGGCCUGACUCCGUGGGACUGGAGGAAGGCGCAUGAACUUGAGCAUUUCAGGGCACCACUCUAAGGAAAAAAAAAAACAGGAGGCUGUCAGCACCUGACCUUUGUGGGAUCAAGAGAAAGCACACAAACUUAAGAAUUUUCUCCUAAGAGGGAGCAAGAAGGUAGUUCUGUUUUAAGUUCUUUGAGAAAUCUCCAAACUGCUUUCCGCAGUGGCUGAACUAAUUUACAUUCCCACCUGCAGUGUAUAAGUGUUCCCUUUUCUCCACAACAUUGCCAGCAUCUGUUAUUGUUUGAUUUUUUGGUAAUAACUAUUUGGACUGGUGUGAGAUGGCAUCUCAUUGUGGUUUCCAUUUGCAUUUCUUAAAUGAUUAGUGAUGUUGAGCAUUUUUUCAUAUGCUUGUUGGCCAUAUGUAUGUCUUCUUAUGAAAAGUGUCUGUUUGUGUCCUUUGCCCACUUUUUAAUGGGGUUGUUUUUUUGCUUGUUAAUUGUUUAAGUUCCUUAUAGAUUCUGGAUAUUAGAUCUUUGUCAUAUGCAUAGUUUGCAAAUAUUUUUUCCCAUCCUGUGGGUUGUCUACUCUGUUGAUAGUUUCUUUUGCUGUGCAGAAGCUUUGCAGUUUAAUUCAUUCUACUGUAAAGACAUCUGCAUUUGUAUGUUUAUUGAAGCAAUAUUCACACUAGCAAAGACAUGGAAUCAACCUAAAUGCCCACCAAUAGUAGACUUGAUUAUGAAAAUUGGAUACAUAUACACCAUGGAAGACCAUGCAGGCACAAAAAAGAACAAGAUCAUGUCCUUUGCAGCAACAUGAAUGGAGCUGGAGGCCAUUUUCCUAAGCAAACUAACACAAGAACAGAAAACCAAAUACCACAUGUUCUCACUUAUAAGUGGAAGCUAAACAUUGAGUACAUAUGGACACAAAGAAGAGAAUAGAUACUGGGGCCUGCUUGAGAGUGGACGGUGGGAGGAGGGUGAGGAUUGAAAAGCUACCUACUGAAUACUACGCUUAUUAUCUGAGUGAUGAAAUAAUCUAUACACCUAACCCCCGUAACGUGCAAUUUACCUGUAUAACAAGCCUGCACAUACUCCUGAACCUAAAAUAAAAGUUAACAAAAACUGAAUUAUUAUAUAAUCUGGCAAUCUCAUUGCUGGAUAUAUUUUUACUCUGCAUAAUUCAAUGGAAAUGCCAUCAGUAUACUGAAGAGAUAUUUUCACCCCUAUGUUAAUUGCAGCCUUAUUCACAAUAGCCAAGAUAAUGGAAUCAACCUCAAUGUCCAUCAACAGAUGAAAGGAUAAAGAAAAUGUGGUAUAUUUACACAGUGGAAUACUAUUCAGCCAUAAUAAGGAAUAAAAUCUUGUCAUUUGUGGCAACAUUUAUAAACCUGGUGGACAUUAAGUGAAAUAAACCAGGCAUAGAAAG